UACGUAGGGUGCAAGCGUUGUUCGGAAUUACUGGGCGUAAAGCGUGUGUAGGCGGCCCACUAAGUCUGAUGUGAAAGCCCUGAGCUCAACUCAGGAAUUGCAUCGGAAACUGGAGGGCUGGAGUUCGGGAGAGGGUAGUGGAAUUCCUGGUGUAGAGGUGAAAUUCGUAGAUAUCAGGAGGAACACCGGUGGCGAAGGCGGCUUUCUAUCUUAUUCCUGACGCUGAUUGCGCGAAAAGCAAGGGG
rnacentral:rRNA from 1 species